rnacentral:lncRNA from 1 species
CAGUUUAUUUAUUAAAAAAUAAAGCAGUUCGUUUGAUACAAUUGUUGUAUAUACAAAUACAUAUAUUUUUUCAAAAAACCAUAUCUUCUUGUAGAAACAUAUUGAUUUUCUACACAAUGAAUCUACAAAGUUUUGUAUUACACUUUUCAACUUAAUUCGCGCACCAAAGACAUCCCACAUUAACUUUUUCUCUUUUUUUCUUUUUUUCAAAUGUUAUUUUUACCACAAUGAGAUUAAUAAUAUUUUGUAAUGUCAAUAAGCCAUAAUGUGUUGCAGUAUUUUGAUACAUUAAAAAUCUGUGUUUAAAAUAAGGCAUCACUUACAUAGAUUAUGUUACUUUGUGCAUACAUUUAUCAUCAGUGUCUUCCAAUUUGGCCAUUCUCAACGCUAUGUAUUUCUGUUUUUAGCAUGUCUUUUGCAUUUUGAAAUUAGAAUUAUGUGGAUUGACCCUGAGACUAACUCAAACCUCAACUCACCAAAGGCCUGUCCAAUCCCCUUAUAAACAGGAAAGUAACCAAAGUACACCCAAAAAGAACAUACUCUACGGUGUACAAAACGUGUCAUAACCCCUCAUUCAGAAAUGCAAGGUUACACAA